AGUCUAACAUGUGUGCGAGUCAUUGGGCGCACUAAACCCAAAGGCGUAAUGAAAGUGAAAGGGGGGCGUCCCGGAGUCCUCGUGGCUUCGGUCGGCGCCCUCCGGGGCCGAUCCCUGACCGGCCGAUGCCGCCGUUUGGUUUUCCCAUACCAAAGCGAGGUCAUCCCAAAGGGGGUGCGCGGGGUGAGUCCCUUUCCCCCGUCGUCUGCCUCUGGCCUCGUGGGUGCCCGGCGCGCUCGACGGUCCGAGCUCCCUUGUUGGGGCUCGCUUGUACGCAGGGGGGCGCAGGCCCGGGACUUGCCAUUUGACGCCGUCGCGCGAAUCUGUUGUUGGCCUCAUCGGCUUUGCUUGGGCUCUCGGUUGGUGCGCCGCGUGUCUUUGGGCGGGCUUUGGGUGGGGGGCCUCGGCUCCUCCCCGGGUUCGUCCGGCGCGGUUUCGCCUUCCGAUCCUGCUCUGUUCGGAGUGGCCUAGCGCGCGUGCUGUCGGCAAGUACCAUGAGCAGACAUGUUGGGACCCGAAAGAUGGUGAACUAUGCCUGGCCAGGAUGAAGCCAGAGGAAACUCUGGUGGAGGUCCGUAGCAAUUCUGACGUGCAAAUCGAUUGUCAGAGCUGGGUAUAGGGGCGAAAGACUAAUCGAACCAUCUA
rnacentral:rRNA from 1 species